AAUGCAUAUUCAGAUCCCAAUAUUGAGAUUUGAUACCUCGAGAUUCGAUCUAUACUGAGCCCACAACAAAGUCCAGGACAACAAAUGGAGUCCCAUGAAAAAAGAUGAAAAUACGCACGAAAAAAGGCUCGAAGCAAGUUGCAUGGCUCACAAGGUGGUGGAGGCUUGCGGCGGUGCAGUCGGGCCCGACGGAUGGGCGUGCGUAGG
rnacentral:lncRNA from 1 species